rnacentral:rRNA from 1 species
UACGUAGGGGGCAAGCGUUGUCCGGAUUUAUUGGGCGUAAAGAGCGUGUAGGCGGCUAUACAGGUCCGUUGUGAAAACUCGAGGCUCAACCUCGAGACGCCGAUGGAAACCGUAUGGCUAGAGUCCGGAAGAGGAGAGCGGAAUUCCUGGUGUAGCGGUGAAAUGCGUAGAGAUGUGGAGGAACACCAGUGGCGAAGGCGGCUUUCUGGUCUGUAACUGACGCUGAGGCGCGAAAGCGUGGGGGAGCAAACAGG